GCAGAAACCAGUUCAUCCCUCCCUUGCCCUCCACCUCGCACCCAUCAAGUGAUGCAAAGGAAAUAUCUACAAGUUCCUGGGUUUCCCUGCCAGGUAAUCACACUUCUUUGUCCUGACCAGGACCUACUCCAUUCCUGGAUGGUCUGCUAUUGUCCAUGGGACGACUACCUGUCUGGCAGGUGAUUAUCUCUUGUUCAAGAGGCUGCUGAGUACAAGAUCUCAGGUUUCAAGGAUUAUGGCUGUCUUGUUUCCCAAAUUCCCCCUUUGGGAGCCAUUUGUUCCCUGAGUAAAAUGAAGUUGGAAUGGUGUCGAUCUGACAUAGGGCUGAUUUUAUAUGAAGGUUUUGCUGCAUAAGGGAAGGUGAGUACUAUGUAAGGUAAAAAGGUAAAGGACCCCUGGACGUUUAAGUCCAGUCAAAGGCGACUAUGGGGUUGCAGCGCUCAUCCCUCUUUCAGGCCAAGGGAGCUGGCGUUUGUCCACAGACAGCUGUUGUAAGAAAAAAACUGCUCCUUUCCCCUUAUGGGGUACCCAAGAGCCCAUAUAGAGUCCUUAAGUGGGUUCCCUAUCGGUAAGAGAAAAUAACAGAGGCCAGCCAGAGAAUAUUGAGAAGCAAAGCAGCUAGUAAGCCUCAUCUUUAUUAACUGUGGCAACAGGGUGCUCACUGCCACACGCAGGAGGGACCCCAAAAAUGGUGCGCAAGCCCUUAUAUAGGCAUUUGAAAUUGCCCAGCCUGGAGCCCACGACCCCCCCCCCAAUAUAUCAUACAUACAUCACAGAAGAGGCCGACUACAGCAAAAAUCCUGUCUGCUAGGGUACCUCAAAAAUGACCACGGAUUGCAUCACUUGGGCCGUCUGGCGAUUCUUUUGUGAUGGUAAAUACUUAAUUCCUGUGUCCAGGUCACAGGCUCACUCUAUUCAGACACAGAUACCCCUCAAGACAGGAUUUGUGAGCACAGAGACAAGGGGGAGGUUUUCUCAUUUCCUUUGUUCUUUCAGAGAAACAUUUGAAGUCAGUUGGGGAGAGACAAAAUGGUUUCAGGACUUUUCCCGUACUGAUACUGUGGUGGUUUAUAGGUGUAUGUAUGUGUCUGCCUGGUACAUUUAUGAACAUUUAUUUUAUAUCUUAGACCUUAUAAUUCUCAUAACGCAGCUUUCCAGGUCAUGUGGCCAGCAGGACUAAACCGCUUCUGGUGCAACGGGACACCAUGACGGAAGCCAGAGCGCAUGGAACUUGACCUUCCCGUCACAGUGGUACCUAUUUAUCUACUCGCUUUCAAACUGCUAGGUUGGUG